rnacentral:rRNA from 1 species
UGCAAGUCGAGCGGUAGCACAAGAGAGCUUGCUCUCUGGGUGACGAGCGGCGGACGGGUGAGUAAUGUCUGGGAAACUGCCUGAUGGAGGGGGAUAACUACUGGAAACGGUAGCUAAUACCGCAUGACGUCUUCGGACCAAAGUGGGGGACCUUCGGGCCUCACGCCAUCAGAUGUGCCCAGAUGGGAUUAGCUAGUAGGUGGGGUAAUGGCUCACCUAGGCGACGAUCUCUAGCUGGUCUGAGAGGAUGACCAGCCACACUGGAACUGAGACACGGUCCAGACUCCUACGGGAGGCAGCAGUGGGGAAUAUUGCACAAUGGGCGCAAGCCUGAUGCAGCCAUGCCGCGUGUAUGAAGAAGGCCUUCGGGUUGUAAAGUACUUUCAGCGAGGAGGAAGGCAUUAAGGUUAAUAACCUUAGUGAUUGACGUUACUCGCAGAAGAAGCACCGGCUAACUCCGUGCCAGCAGCCGCGGUAAUACGGAGGGUGCAAGCGUUAAUCGGAAUUACUGGGCGUAAAGCGCACGCAGGCGGUUGAUUAAGUCAGAUGUGAAAUCCCCGAGCUUAACUUGGGAACUGCAUUUGAAACUGGUCAGCUAGAGUCUUGUAGAGGGGGGUAGAAUUCCAGGUGUAGCGGUGAAAUGCGUAGAGAUCUGGAGGAAUACCGGUGGCGAAGGCGGCCCCCUGGACAAAGACUGACGCUCAGGUGCGAAAGCGUGGGGAGCAAACAGGAUUAGAUACCCUGUAGUCCACGCUGUAAACGAUGUCGACUUGGAGGUUGUGCCCUUGAGGCGUGGCUUCCGGAGCUAACGCGUUAAGUCGACCGCCUGGGGAGUAC